GCAUUUUCGGAAAUUUUGCACAAACCCUCUUAUUCCCCUCCUUAUCUCACGACCACACACUCUUCAUCUUCAUCUUUUAUUUUGUUUUGCUCACCAAACACACACACACACACGGCAGCACACUUCCCCCUCUCAACCACGAAAAUCUCCACCAUUUUCUCACUUGUCUCUUGCUCUUCUCCCUUCUCUCAUCAACCCUUGAAUCUUGGGAGCCAUGGCAUGAGAAAGCUUUGAUUUCUUUUUGGGAGCAUUGCACAAAGUGGCCUUUCAAGAGCAAAAAGCGUUUGGCUUGGGCUUUGCUUCAAAUCAAGUCCUUCAUCGUUUUUGAGCUUUGAGUAACGAUUUUUGGGUGUUAGGACCUCCAAUCUACCGAUUAUUUUGAGGCACGUAAAGUGGAGACUUCAAUUGCUCCCCAACGGCGAGUUCAAGGUAACUAGAACAUGGGGGAUAUUUGAGUCAUGAGUCCAAUGUAGUUAAGGUGGGGCGUUACACGUUGGCUUGGCGGAUCCCACAUAUUUUGACUAAAUGAGUCAGCUUCAUUGGUUUGAGCACAGGCCCUGUACGCUCGAAUCCUCUAUCAGGCCAGGACUCUGAUGUUUUGACUGCAGGUUCGGUGGAUCUACUGAAUGACGUCGUAGCAUAGUACUUGAGAUGUUAUGACUGAAGCCCGACGCGACAGUUAUAUUGGUUGGACCAUGGGUUGUCUGCCUUUUGUUAGACUUUGUUUAUGGCUCGUGUCGCCUGUGACACUUGUAUUUAUGAGCCAGUCUUUUAGUAUGUAUUAAUAGCUUUGUAGAAGUCUUAAACAAAUGGACAUAUUAAUGGCUCUUUUGUUGUGAUUAACUGUUGUUUAUAGAUGUACUUUCUGCUAUGUUGAUAAUGUUAUUAUGUGUUA